rnacentral:ncRNA from 6 species
CCUGCCAGUAGUCAUAUGCUUGUCU